GAGUUUGAUCUUGGCUCAGAUUGAACGCUGGCGGCAGGCCUAACACAUGCAAGUCGAGCGGAUGACGGGAGCUUGCUCCUUGAUUCAGCGGCGGACGGGUGAGUAAUGCCUAGGAAUCUGCCUGGUAGUGGGGGACAACGUUUCGAAAGGAACGCUAAUACCGCAUACGUCCUACGGGAGAAAGCAGAGGACCUUCGGGCCUUGCGCUAUCAGAUGAGCCUAGGUCGGAUUAGCUAGUUGGUGGGGUAAUGGCUCACCAAGGCGACGAUCCGUAACUGGUCUGAGAGGAUGAUCAGUCACACUGGAACUGAGACACGGUCCAGACUCCUACGGGAGGCAGCAGUGGGGAAUAUUGGACAAUGGGCGAAAGCCUGAUCCAGCCAUGCCGCGUGUGUGAAGAAGGUCUUCGGAUUGUAAAGCACUUUAAGUUGGGAGGAAGGGCAGUAAGUUAAUACCUUGCUGUUUUGACGUUACCGACAGAAUAAGCACCGGCUAACUCUGUGCCAGCCGCCG
rnacentral:rRNA from 1 species